rnacentral:rRNA from 1 species
GAUGAACGCUGGCGGCGUGCCUAAUACAUGCCAGUCGAGCGAACGGACGAGAAGCUUGCUUCUCUGAUGUUAGCGGCGGACGGGUGAGUAACACGUGGAUAACCUACCUAUAAGACUGGGAUAACUUCGGGAAACCGGAGCUAAUACCGGAUAAUAUUUUGAACCGCAUGGUUCAAAAGUGAAAGACGGUCUUGCUGUCACUUAUAGAUGGAUCCGCGCUGCAUUAGCUAGUUGGUAAGGUAACGGCUUACCAAGGCAACGAUGCAUAGCCGACCUGAGAGGGUGAUCGGCCACACUGGAACUGAGACACGGUCCAGACUCCUACGGGAGGCAGCAGUAGGGAAUCUUCCGCAAUGGGCGAAAGCCUGACGGAGCAACGCCGCGUGAGUGAUGAAGGUCUUCGGAUCGUAAAACUCUGUUAUUAGGGAAGAACAUAUGUGUAAGUAACUGUGCACAUCUUGACGGUACCUAAGCAGAAAGCCACGGCCAACUACGU